rnacentral:rRNA from 1 species
AAUGAACGUUGGCGGCGUGGAUUAGGCAUGCAAGUCGCGCGAGAAGUUUCCUUCGGGAGACGGACAGCGGCGGAAGGGAGAGGAAUAAGUAGAAAUCUGCCCUCGGGACGGGGAUAGCGGCGGGAAACUGCCGGUAAUACCCGAUAACAUCUUUGGAUCAAAUGGUGUGAUUCCGCCUGAGGAUGAGUCUACUUCCUAUUAGCUAGUUGGUGUGGUAAUGGCUCACCAAGGCAACGAUGGGUAGCGGGUGUGAGAGCACGAUCCGCCUCACUGGGACUGAGACACUGCCCAGACACCUACGGGUGGCUGCAGUCGAGAAUCUUCGGCAAUGGGGGAAACCCUGACCGAGCGACGCCGCGUGCGGGAUGAAGGCCCUCGGGUUGUAAACCGCUGUCGUAAGGGAACAAAUCCAUAGGGGUACUCCCCUAUGGUUGAGUGAUCUUAGGAGGAAGGACGGGCUAAGUUCGUGCCAGCAGCCGCGGUAAAGUGACUACUUG